rfam:Triticum aestivum genome assembly, contig: Triticum_aestivum_CS42_TGACv1_scaffold_000947_1AL
UAUAUUCUCCCUCCAUCCUGAAAAGCUUGUCCCAAGCUUGUUCCUCAAAUGGACGUAUCUAGCACUAACUUGGUGCUAGAUACAUCCAUUCGAGGGACAAGCUUUUUCGGAGGGAGGGAGUAGUAG